AACGAACGCUGGCGGCAUGCCUAACACAUGCAAGUCGAACGAGACCUUCGGGUCUAGUGGCGCACGGGUGCGUAACGCGUGGGAACCUGCCCUUAGGUUCGGAAUAACUCCCCGAAAGGGGUGCUAAUACCGGAUAAUGUCUUCGGACCAAAGAUUUAUCGCCUUUGGAUGGGCCCGCGUUGGAUUAGCUAGUUGGUAGGGUAAAAGCCUACCAAGGCGACGAUCCAUAGCUGGUCUGAGAGGAUGAUCAGCCACACUGGGACUGAGACACGGCCCAGACUCGUACGGGAGGCAGCAGUGGGGAAAUUUGGACAAUGGGCGAAAGCCUGAUCCAGCAAUGCCGCGUGAGUGAUGAAGGCCUUAGGGUUGUAAAGCUCUUUUACCCGGGAUGAUAAUGACAGUACCGGGAGAAUAAGCUCCGGCUAACUCCGUG
rnacentral:rRNA from 1 species